rnacentral:rRNA from 1 species
AUGUGGAGCUCCGACUCCGACCCCGAUUAUGCAGCCGGCGCCGCCGCGAUGACCACGGCAUCGUCCUCUACCUGCUCAUCCAACCCGUCGACACCACCGGUUUCCUCCCCGAGCCAGCCUCCGCCACCACACCGCCACAAGAGCAUUGUGGGCGUGGGUGUGGCCGCGACUGGCAGGGAGGCGGAGGCCGAGGACGUGUGGGACGGGGCUCGGUGGGAGGCGGCGUGGCCACGGCGCCCGAAGCCGGUGGUCGUCGCCGCCGAGCAGACGCACAGCACCGGCGUCGCGUCCUCAUCUUGUGACGGCGUCGGCUAGGGCUGCGCGAGGAGUCUCACCGACGACGACCUGGCGGACCUCAAAGGGUGCGCGGAUUUGGGCUUCGGCUUCAGAUACGACGAGAUCCCGGAGCUGCGCGGGACCCUGCCCGCCCUUGAGCUCUGCUACUCCAUGAGGCAGCGCUUCCUCGACCACGACCAGCCCCAGGCACCGCAGGAGCAGGAGACGGCCGCCACGCCGACGACCUCGCCGCCCAUUGCCGACUGGAAGAUCUCCAGCCCAGGGGAUAGCACGGAGGAGGUGAAGGCGCGGCUCAGGUACUGGGCGCAGGCGGUGGCGUGCACCGUCAGGCUCUGCAGCUGA